rnacentral:ncRNA from 1 species
UAUCUUUGCGCGCUGAUUGAAGGUCAAUCAAUACAUAAAAAUCAUUUAAAUAAAUAUUGGAAUG